rnacentral:rRNA from 1 species
GAUGAACGCUGACAGAAUGCUUAACACAUGCAAGUCUUUGGUGAAGCUGUGCUUGCACAGCCUAGCCAAGGCGGACGGGUGAGUAACGCGUAAGGAACUUGCCCUGCACUCAGGGAUAACAGACGGAAACGACUGAUAAGACCUGGUAAAGUCAGGCGGACUCAUGUCCAGCCUGAUGAAAAGAGAUGCUGCAGGAGAGCCUUGCGUCCUAUUAGCUUGUUGGUGGGGUAACGGCCCACCAAGGCAAUGAUAGGUAGCCGGCCUGAGAGGGUGGACGGCCACAAGGGGACUGAGAUACGGCCCUUACUCCUACGGGAGGCAGCAGUGGGAGAUAUUGGACAAUGGGGGCAACCCUGAUCCAGCAAUUCUGUGUGCACGAUGAAGGUUUUCGGAUUGUAAAGUGCUUUCAGCAGGGAAGAAAAAAAUGACGGUACCUGCAGAAGAAGCGACGGCUAAAUACGUG